rnacentral:tRNA from 1 species
AGAGAAUUAGUUAAAAGAUAAUGUGAGGUUGUCAACUUCAAGUUACUAAGAAUUUAGUAUUUUCUA